rnacentral:tRNA from 1 species
GCUAAGAUGGCAGAGCCCGGUAAUUGCAAAAGGCCUAAACCCUUUUAUUCAGAGGUUCAACCCCUCUUCUUGGCU